AGAGUUUGAUCAUGGCUCAGGAUUAACGCUGGCGGUGGGCAUAAUACAUGCGAGUCGAAUGUGUCGCAAGAUACAUGGCAGACGGGUGCGUAACACGUAGGUAACUUGCCCUUAAGUCAAGGAUAACCCGAAGAAAUUCGGAAUAAUCCUGGAUAAAAACGGGGGGUCUAAGGACAUUCCCGUUUAAAGAUUUAUCGCUUAAGGAGAGGCCUGCGGCUUAUCAGGUAGUUGGUAGGGUAAUGGCCUACCAAGCCUAAGACGAGUAGCUGGUGUGAGAGCACGACCAGCCACAAGGGAACUGAGACACGGUCCCUACAUCUACGGAUGGCAGCAGUAAGGAAUUUUCCGCAAUGGGCGAAAGCCUGACGGAGCCACACCGCGUGGAGGACGAAGGCCUGUGGGUUGUAAACUCCUUUUGAAUAUCGAAGAAAUCUUGACAUUAGAUAUUCGAAUAAGCGACGGCUAACUUCGUGCCAGAAGCCUCGGUGAUACGAAGGUCGCAAGCGUUAUCCGGAUUGACUGGGCGUAUAGUGCUGCGUAGGUGGUUUAUUAAGUCUCAGGUUAAAAUUUACGGCCCAACCGUAAAAUCGCUUGGGAAACUGGUAGACUUGAAUCUAUCUAAGGCGAGUAGAAUUCCCGGUGAAGGGGUUAAAUCCGUUGAUAUCGGGAGGAAUACCAAUGGCGAAAGC
rnacentral:rRNA from 1 species